GCUGCCAUAGUGUAGUGGCCAAUCAUGUCGGCCUUUCACGCCGACGACUGGGGUUCGAAUCCCCAUGGCAGCA
rnacentral:tRNA from 6 species